CCUCCUCUCGCCAGCGAGCACGUUACUUCCCCGCUCUCUUAUAUAUCUGGACAAAGGGAACAAGCAACGGGGAUGGGGUGGCGGGGAAGCCCGGGAAGGCGUUGGUCCUAAGAGAAGACAAUCAUAAAGUAAAUGCCAAUCAUCAGGUUUAUUUUUAAAUUGCCAAUAAGAGGACUUAGAAAUGAAAGAACAUAAUAGAGGACUUAGAAAUGAAAGAACAUAAUAAUCAAGCACAAAGUAA